ACGGAAGGCAGCAGUGGGGGAUAUUGCACAAUGGGGGAAACCCUGAUGCAGCGACGCCGCGUGAGCGAUGAAGUAUUUCGGUAUGUAAAGCUCUAUCAGCAGGGAAGAAAAUGACGGUACCUGACUAAGAAGCUCCGGCUAAAUACGUGCCAGCAGCCGCGGUAAUACGUAUGGAGCAAGCGUUAUCCGGAUUUACUGGGUGUAAAGGGUGCGUAGGUGGUAUGGCAAGUCAGAAGUGAAAACCCGGGGCUCAACCCCGUGGAUUGCUUUUGAAACUGUCAAACUAGAGUACCGGAGAGGUAAGCGGAAUUCCUAGUGUAGCGGUGAAAUGCGUAGAUAUUAGGAGGAACACCAGUGGCGAAGGCGGCUUACUGGACGGUAACUGACACUGAGGCACGAAAGCGUGGGGAGCAAACAGGAUUAGAUACCCUGGUA
rnacentral:rRNA from 1 species